GAGGAGGGUACCCCGCCGGAAGCCCCCUGCUCUGUGGGAACCGGAGGGAGGACAGCGCGAGGUCCCCGGACAAAGCGUGGCGCAUAAGUCCGGCCCGUAACUUGGUGGGCAGGCAACUUAGGGGAUGUGGGCCUGGUUAUAGCUGAGCAUGCUUUUCUAUUCCUCCCAGACCACAGUUCUUCAGACCUGGAGCCACUUUCAGAGAAGAGUAUAAGUUGCACUGAAUUGAAAAAGGGAAAAGUUUAGGACUGCAGAAGAUGGAAUUCCUGGGGACGUUAAACUGGGCUAAGAUGGAGCAGAUAAGAUUUCCUUAAUUAGAGCAAGACACACCUAGUAUCUAGAGCCUGGAAGUCUUGGUCAAGGAUUCUCCCUAACAUCUCAGUUUCUCAGCACUAACAUUCCUGCUACUAAAAUGAAGUGAGAAAUUAAUUUCUGAAGUUAAGUAAAGAAAUAAACUAAAAUUCCUAGAAAAGAGGUAAGAAGAAUGAGCCUUUGAAAAAUGUCUUCACAAAGACUGGCAUGAUGGCAUGGAAGAAAGAGCCCCAGAUAUCCAGUAUACAUCUCAAGGUCAACUUGUCCAAAACAGAGCUACUGAUGAUUUUCCCCUUGAAAUCUACUCUUCCUACAGCUUAUUCAUCUCAAAUAGACUCUUCAGAGAGUCUCCCAGCAAGAAGGCUUUCACCAGAUGUUUCCCUUCCUGCUUCGACUUCCAAGGCUCCAGACCAGUAAGAAAUACAUUUCAUUUCUUAUAGAUUACCCACUUUCAGGUAUUUUGUUAUAAGUAAUAGAAAAUGGACUAAGGCAAGCAGUAAACCAGAUGUUUGAAGUUGAGAGAAGACCUAAGAGUACUGUUACCGUACCCUGUGCAAGAGCUGUUCUUCAAUUAUCCUUUCUCCUUUGGAAUCAUCCAUGACCCAGGUUGGAAAUAUACACCUAAGCAUCCAAAGCUCUGAAAAAUAACCAGGAAAUUUAGGAAGAGCAAAGGGCACAAGUGCCAAAUUAAUAAAAUUAUCUAUUUAGGGCAAUUAUUUUCAUUUGUACAGUAGGGUCAAGUAACUAGAUUAUGUAAUAUAUAUAUACUAUAGUUACAAUAUAUAUUAUAACUAUCUCUGUAAGUAAAAGCUCUACCUGAAGAGGUAAUGUGUAAUGAAUGAAAGUGUCUCAGAGGUGUUUGAACCAGAGCAACUCCAUCUUAAUUAGCAGCAGGGUAAAA
rnacentral:lncRNA from 1 species